rnacentral:rRNA from 1 species
ACGCUGGCGGCAGGCUUAACACAUGCAAGUCGAGCGGUAACAGGGGGAGCUUGCUCCCCGCUGACGAGCGGCGGACGGGUGAGUAAUGCAUAGGAAACUGCCCAGUAGUGGGGGAUAGCCCGGGGAAACCCGGAUUAAUACCGCAUACGCCCUUUGGGGGAAAGCAGGGGAUCUUCGGACCUUGCGCUAUUGGAUGUGCCUAUGUCGGAUUAGCUAGUUGGUGGGGUAAGAGCCUACCAAGGCGACGAUCCGUAGCUGGUCUGAGAGGAUGAUCAGCCACAUCGGGACUGAGACACGGCCCGAACUCCUACGGGAGGCAGCAGUGGGGAAUAUUGGACAAUGGGGGCAACCCUGAUCCAGCCAUGCCGCGUGUGUGAAGAAGGCUUUCGGGUUGUAAAGCACUUUCAGUGAGGAGGAAAACCUUACGACUAAUACUCGUGAGGCUUGACGUUACUCACAGAAGAAGCACCGGCUAACUCCGUGCCAGCAGCCGCGGUAAUACGGAGGGUGCAAGCGUUAAUCGGAAUUACUGGGCGUAAAGCGCGCGUAGGUGGUUUGAUAAGCGAGAUGUGAAAGCCCCGGGCUCAACCUGGGAACGGCAUUUCGAACUGUCAGGCUAGAGUAUGGUAGAGGAGUGUGGAAUUUCCUGUGUAGCGGUGAAAUGCGUAGAUAUAGGAAGGAACACCAGUGGCGAAGGCGGCACUCUGGACCAAUACUGACACUGAGGUGCGAAAGCGUGGGAGCAAACAGGAUUAGAUACCCUG